GCACCCAUAGUGUAGCCAGGAUAGCAUAGCAGCUUGCGGAGCUGCCGGCCAGGGUUCAAAUCCCUGUGGGUGCG
rnacentral:tRNA from 1 species